rnacentral:rRNA from 1 species
CCCUCGUUUUCCCCUUCCCAUUGCUUGUUCUCUUCCUCUGCAUCUCUUCGACACUGUCGUCGCCGUGCACCGCUCGAUCCCGCGGCCACUGGCACCCCCGAGCGCCGAGACCUUGACUACGAGGGGCACCGCCCACUACUUCUUCCUCCUAGACCACCAGCUGGAGCCGGGAAGCUCUCCUCCAUCGGAUCGCCUCGCUCCACCACCGUGGGCAUCGCCGCUGCCGCUGCCUCGACCUGCAACAUCGGCGCCCCACCGACCUCUCCAAGCACGCCCCGACCACACUACGUUGGAGUCCAAGAGCAAGACGCCACCGUUCACGAUGACUCCUACUACACUGGAGGUGCCUACUACUACGUGCAGCCCGCUGUCGAUGACCAGGAGUAG